rnacentral:rRNA from 1 species
CUACGGGGGGCAGCAGUUAGGGAUUUUUUGCAAUGCACGAAAGUGUGACAAAGCGAGUCAGAGUGUUUCUCAUAUAGAGAAACUUUUAUCAACUGUAAAAAAGCUGAUGAAUAAGGACUGGGUAAGACUGGUGCCAGCCGCCGCGGUAAUACCAGCAGUUCAAGUCGUAGCCAUGAUUAUUGGGUCUAAAACAUCCGUAGCUUGUUUCAUAAGUCUCUUGUGAAAUUCUGUCUCUCAAGGACAGAGCGAGUGAGAGAUACUGUGUUACUAGAGACUGGAGGGUGUAAGAAGUACAGUCGAGGUAGUGGUAAAAUACGUUAAUCUCGAUUGGACUAACAACAGCGAAGGCAUCUUACAACGACAGUUCUGACAGUGAGGGAUGAAGGCUAGGGGCGCAAAACGGAUUAGAUACCCCCGUAGUC